UGUAUGGUUCGCUGGAAAAGAUUCUGAAAGGAGACCCUUAGAAGUGUGUUAAAGGUCUCAUAUUAUGCUCAUUUCCAGGUUAAUAGAUGUAUUUUAAUGUUGCACUAGAACAUGUUUACAUGCUGCAAUGUUCAAAAACCCCUUUAUUCUUCUCAUAGUGUCUCUCUCACUCAGCCUGCAUUUAGCCUCUGUCUGAGAGAUCCUGAUUUACAGCCUGUCUCCUCCCACUCUGCUCUGAUUGGUCAGUGUUUCUGUCAAUCAAACGUCCUCAACAACACAACGUCACAGAUAGAGAGAGAGAGCAACCUGUAGUUUUGACUGUAAGGAGAGGGAGAAGCAGCUAGAAUAGAGCUUAUAAACCACUUUAAAGUUUAUAAACCAGAAACUUCACCCAGCGCACGUUACCGGAGGAAUCUGAUCAGAAAUCGGCGACAAAUGAACAACAUCUGCGGUCCAGAUUCCAGGUUUUCCUGACGGUUUCUCUCAGAUCCAUCUGUGAGAAAUGACCGACAGAAUCAUCCCAGAGGAGAGCAGACAGCUGAGAGCAGAUAGCUGUGAGCAGAUGGGAAAUACAGAGCUAACCCGUUAGCAUGUAGCUACAUGCUAACGGGUUAGCUACAUGCUACCGCUAUGAGACGGUGUGUAACCACAGCGACCAUCAGGGUGGAAAAUAGAAGAUGUGAAACAGUAGUCAGUUCAUUAUUUCUGGUAAAAGACACCUGCUAAAUGUAUGGAAGAUCAGAGUAAUGGUAUAUUAUUUACAGUAGGAGCUGUCUCUGUGUUAUCAUGACUACAGACCACUGGAGCUUAGCUUACCGUAGUUUACCAGAGCUGAAAGACUUUCUCCUGUACCAUGUCAACAUAACUAACUAACAGGUGGGAUGAUUACAAAUGCUGUGUAUAAUUAAUAUUGUCAUCUGUCUACUCAAAUAAAGUUUGACUGUGAAACAGAAA